UACGUAGGGUGCAAGCGUUAAUCGGAAUUACUGGGCGUAAAGCGUGCGUAGACGGUUAUUUAAGUCGGGUGUGAAAGCCCCGGGCUCAACCUGGGAAUUGCAUUCGAGACUGAAUAGCUAGGGUACGGUAGAGGGAAGUGGAAUUUCCGGUGUAGCGGUGAAAUGCGUAGAUAUCAGGAGGAACACCGGUGGCGAAGGCGGAUCUCUGGGCCAUUACUGACGCUGAGGAGCGAAAGCGUGGGGAGCGAACAGG
rnacentral:rRNA from 1 species